rnacentral:tRNA from 1 species
GAGAAAGGCCCCGAUGGCAGUAGACACUGCUAAAUUCUACCCCCGCAGCUAAAUUCUGCGGCUUGCUCG